UACGUAGGGACCAAGCGUUGUCCGGAAUCAUUGGGCGUAAAGCGCGCGUAGGCGGCCCGGUAAGUCCGUUGUAAAAGUCAAAGGCUCAACCUUUGAAUGCCGAUGGAUACUGCCGGGCUAGAGUCCGGAAGAGGCGAGUAGAAUUCCUGGUGUAGCGGUGGAAUGCGCAGAUAUCAGGAGGAAUACCCAUAGCGAAGGCAGCUCGCUGGGACGGUACUGACGCUAAGGCGCGAAAGCGUGGAGAGCGAACAGG
rnacentral:rRNA from 1 species